rnacentral:rRNA from 1 species
AUUGAACGCUGGCGACAGGCCUAACACAUGCAAGUCGAACGGUAACAGGAAACAGCUUGCUGUUUCGCUGACGAGUGGCGGACGGGUGAGUAAUGUCUGGGAAACUGCCUGAUGGAGGGGGAUAACUACUGGAAACGGUAGCUAAUACCGCAUAACGUCUCAAGACCAAAGAGGGGGACCUUCGGGCCUCUUGCCAUCGGAUGUGCCCAGAUGGGAUUAGCUAGUAGGUGGGGUAACGGCUCACCUAGGCGACGAUCCCUAGCUGGUCUGAGAGGAUGACCAGCCACACUGGAACUGAGACACGGUCCAGACUCCUACGGGAGGCAGCAGUGGGGAAUAUUGCACAAUGGGCGAAAGCCUGAUGCAGCAAUGCCGCGUGUAUGAAGAAGGCCUUCGGGUUGUAAAGUACUUUCAGCGGGGAUGAAGGGAGUAAAGUUAAUACCUUCGCUCAUUGACGUUACCCGAAGAAGAAGCACCGGCUAACUCCGUG